rnacentral:rRNA from 1 species
GGAAUAUUGGACAAUGGGCGCAAGCCUGAUCCAGCCAUGCCGCGUGUGUGAAGAAGGCCUUCGGGUUGUAAAGCACUUUCAGCGGGGUGGAAGGGGUGUGUGUUAAUAGCACAUAUUCUUGACGUUACCCGCCGAAGAAGUACCGGCUAACUCCGUGCCAGCAGCCGCGGUAAUACGGCGGGUGCAAGCGUUAAUCGGAAUUACUGGGCGUAAAGCGCACGCAGGCGGUAUGUUAAGUGAGAUGUUAAAGCCCCGGGCUCAACCUGGGAAUUGCAUUCAAAACUGGCAUGCUAGAGUAUGUGAGAGGGGGGUAGAAUUCCAAGUGUAGCGGUGAAAUGCGUAGAGAUUUGGAGGAAUACCAGUGGCGAAGGCGGCCCCCUGGCACAAUACUGACGCUCAGGUGCGAAAGCGUGGGGAGCAAAC